GAUGAACGCUAGCGGGAGGCCUAACACAUGCAAGCCGAGCGGUAGAGUUUCUUCGGAAACUUGGGAGCGGCGCACGGGUGCGUAACACGUGUGCAACCUACCUUUAUCUGGGGGAUAGCCUUUCGAAAGGAAGAUUAAUACCCCAUAAUAUAAUGAUUGGCAUCAAUUAUUAUUGAAAACUCCGGUGGAUAGAGAUGGGCACGCGCAAGAUUAGAUAGUUGGUGAGGUAACGGCUCACCAAGUCAAUGAUCUUUAGGGGUCCUGAGAGGGAGAUCCCCCACACUGGUACUGAGACACGGACCAGACUCCUACGGGAGGCAGCAGUGAGGAAUAUUGGACAAUGGGUGAGAGCCUGAUCCAGCCAUCCCGCGUGAAGGAUGACGGUCCUAUGGAUUGUAAACUUCUUUUGUACAGGGAUAAACCUACCCUCGUGAGGGUAGCUGAAGGUACUGUACGAAUAAGCACCGGCUAACUCCGUG
rnacentral:rRNA from 1 species